ACGGUCCUAAGGUAGCGAAAUUCCUUGUCGGGUAAGUUCCGACCCGCACGAAAGGCGUAAUGAUUUGAGCGCUGUCUCGACAAUGCAUCCGGUGAAAUUGAAGUACCAGUGAAGAUGCUGGUUACCCGCGCCAGGACGGAAAGACCCCAUGGAGCUUUACUCCAGUUUGGUACUGGGAUUCGGCAGUGCAUGUACAGGAUAGGUGGGAGGCUUUGAAGCAGGGACGCCAGUUUCUGCGGAGCCGGUGUUGGGAUACCACCCUUGUGCUGCUGGGUUUCUAACCGGAGGCCGUGAACCGGCCACGGGACAAUGCCAGACGGGGAGUUUGACUGGGGCGGUCGCCUCCGAAAGGGUAUCGGAGGCGCUCAAAGGUUCCCUCAGAAUGGUUGGAAACCAUUCGAAGAGUGCAAAGGCAGAAGGGAGCUUGACUGCGACACCGACGGGUGGAGCAGGUACGAAAGUAGGACUUAGUGAUCCGGUGGUAUAAAGUGGGAUUGCCAUCGCUCAACGGAUAAAAGCUACCCUGGGGAUAACAGGCUUAUCACUCCCAAGAGUUCACAUCGACGGAGUGGUUUGGCACCUCGAUGUCGGCUCAUCGCAUCCUGGGGCUGUAGUAGGUCCCAAGGGUUGGGCUGUUCGCCCAUUAAAGCGGUACGCGAGCUGGGUUCAGAACGUCGUGAGACAGUUCGGUCCCUAUCCGGCGUGGGCGUAGGAUAUCUGAGAGGAGCUGUCCUUAGUACGAGAGGACCGGGAUGGACGGGCCGCUGGUGUACCUGUUGGUUUGCCAAAGCCAUGGCAGGGUAGCCAAGCCUGGAAGGGAUAAACGCUGAAGGCAUCUAAGCGUGAAGCCCCCCUCAAGAUGAGAUAUCCCAUUCUUUAGAGAAGUAAGACCCCUUGAAGACGACGAGGUAGAUAGGGCAGGGGUGGAAGUGCAGCAAUGCAUGGAGCUGACUGUUACUAAUCGGUCGAGGGCUUGACCAG
rnacentral:rRNA from 1 species